GGAAGAGGUAUUUGAAUUGGGUGAGGCUGAUGAAGGAAGCAGUGAGGAGAAGGAGCUGCCGUUGCUGUCAUCUUUAACAGAGUUAAAGCUGCGAGGGUUACCUGAGCUCAAAUGCAUAUGGAAGGGGCCCAUUGGACAUGUCAGCCUCCAAAGUCUUGCUCGUCUGUAUCUGAAUUCUCUCGAUAAACUGACAUUUAUCUUCACACCGUCCCUCGUUCAAAGUCUGCCAAAGCUAGAAAGCCUUCACAUAAGUAAAUGCGGUGAAUUGAAGAAUAUUAUCAGAAAAGAGUCGCGAACCUAGGCUGACGCGAGAGUGCGUACGCACUCAGAGGAACUGGCUNNNNNNNNNNNNNNNNNNNNNNNNNNNNNNNNNNNNNNNNNNNNNNNNNNNNNNNNNNNNNNNNNNNNNNNNNNNNNNNNNNNNNNNNNNNNNNNNNNNNGAUUGUUCGUGCUGACAAUUUAAAGCAAAUAUUUUACGGUGGAGAAGGAGAUGCACAUAACAGAGAUGGCAUUAUCAAGUUCCCUCAACUAAGAGAAUUGUCUCUUCGGCUCAGAUCAAAUUACAGCUUUUUAGGUCCACGGAAUUUUGAUGCUCAAUUGCCUUUGCAAUACUUAGCCAUUGAAGGCCACGAAGAAGUGGGUAAUUGGUUGGCACAGCUACAAGUACGUAAUUUAUAUUUCUCCACUUAAUUUAAAUUGUCAAUUGCGAUAAUUUAUUCUUUCUUCCUCCAAAUUUCUAAAAGUAAAGUAAUUGAUAAAUGCUAGGAAAUCCAAGUUUCAUUUUUUUUUUAAUUAUAUAACAAACAUAGUAACUUAUUUUUAUUUUUUUAUGAUUUGUUUUUUUAUCUAAACAUAUAUAAAUAUAAGAAAAUUAACUGCCUCAUUGUUGUUUGCGUUAUUAAUACCAAAAAUUAAUCAUAGAAAUCAUAUUAUCUGUUAGAUUUAAUGUAUAAGAACAUAAAUUUUGUGUUCAAGUAUUUAAUUAAUUACUAUUUUUAUUUUUAUUUUUUACAUGAAACUAAUUAUUAGGAGUUGUAUUAACCUUUUUUUUUCGCAAAAAUCUAAUUAUUAUUCAACUUAUCUCUAAUUAAGAAAAAAAAACUGAAACAAUAAUAUGUAAUCUCUAAGAAGUAUUUAAUCCUGUUUUUUUUUUUUUUUUUUCCUCCUAUUUAUACAUCAUAUAAAUUGUUCUCUGAUAAGAUGGUCGUCCAUGGGCAGCAAAACGACUUCUUACAAAGAUUAGAAUUUGUACGAGUGGACGAUUGUGGGGAUGUUCGCGCUCCGUUUCCAGCAAAAUUGUUGCGAGCUCUGAAAAAUCUGAAGGUGGAAAUUGAGGGCUGCAAAUCAUUGGAAGAGGUAUUUGAAUUGGGUGAGGCUGAUGAAGGAAGCAGUGAGGAGAAGGAGCUGCCUCUGCUGUCAUCUUUAACAAUGUUACAUCUAAACAGAUUACCUGAGCUCAAAUGUAUAUGGAAGGGGCCCACCAGACAUGUCAGCCUCCAAAGUCUUAUUUUUCUGGAUUUGUAUUCUCUCGACAAACUGACAUUUAUCUUCACAACGUCCCUCGCUCAAAGUCUGCCAAAGCUAGAAAGACUUGACAUACGUGAUUGCGGUGAAUUGAAGCAUGUUAUCAGAGAAGAGGAUGGUGAAAGGGAAAUAAUUCCAGAGUCUCCUCGCUUCCCAGAAUUAAAAACUCUCUACAUAUCUCACUGUGGUAAACUGGAAUAUGUCUUCCCUGUCUCUAUGUCUCCAAGCCUUCCGAACCUGGAAGAGAUGACGAUUUCUUAUGCUGACAAUUUAAAGCCAAUAUUUUACAGUGGAGAAGGAGAUGCACUCACCACAGUUGGCAUCAUCAAGUUCCCUCGACUAAGAAAAUUGUCUCUUUCAAAUUGCAGCUUUUUUGGUCCAAAUAAUUUUGCUGCCCAAUUGCCUUCUUUGCAAAUUCUAAAAAUUGAUGGCCACAAAGAAUUGAGAAAUUUGUUUGCACAGCUCCAAGUACGUCCUUUAUAUUUCUCCAAUAUUUUUUUUCCUUUUUAAUUUAAAUUGUCAACUUCAAUACAUGUUGAUUUCUUCCUUUAAAUUUCUGAAACUGAAGUAAUUGAUGAGUGGAGAUAAAUCCUUUAGCCAUCCACUAAAUUUAAAAGGAUUUGUCUAACUGUAUCAUUCCCUGUCUCUUGAUGCAGGGGUUGACAAAUUUGGAAACAUUAUGCUUGGAAUCCCUGCCUGACAUGAGGAGUAUAUGGAAGGGUCUCGUGCUGAGCAAAUUGACUACUUUGGAGGUGGUUAAGUGUAAGAGACUGACACAUGUAUUCACAUGCAGCAUGAUUGUCAGUCUAGUUCAACUGAAAGUUCUAAAGAUAUUGUCCUGUGAGGAAAUGGAGCAAAUCAUUGCUAAAGAUGAUGAUGAAAACUACCAGAUAUUGUUAGGAGAUCAUCUCCAAUCUUUAUGCUUUCCCAAUUUGUAUGGAAUUGAGAUUAGAGAAUGUAACAAGUUGAAGAGUCUCUUCCCAGUAGCCAUGGCUUCAGGUCUCCCAAAGCUGCAAACACUGAGAAUAAGUGAAGCCUCUCAAUUAUUGGGAGUAUUUGGGCAGGAUGAUCAUGCUUCACCUAUCAACGUUGAGAAGGAGAUGGUGCUUCCUAAUCUGUGGGAGCUGUCGCUAGAACAAUUAUCAAGUAUUGUCUGUUUUAGUUUCGGAACCUGUGAUUUCUUAUUCCCUUGUUUGGGGAAGUUGAAGGUCCAUCAAUGUCCAAAGUUGACCACAAAAUUUGCUACUACACCAGAUGGUUCAAUGAGUGCUCAAUCAGAGGUGCUGCUGAUUUGACUUGAUUUCUUGCCUCUCUUUUAGCGUGUUUGUUUCUUGUUUCCCUCAAUAAUAAGAUUUACAAGUUAAAAUGAGCAUGCCAUGCUUGACUUGGUUUUACAGGUAUAUGAAGUAGAUGAAGAUUCAAGCAUUAAUAGAGACUGGACCAGAAAUAACGGGUGGAAAGAAGAUGGAGACUCAUGUCUUUGAGCUGUGAAUAUAUUUGGACUUGAUGCUGUACUAUUUGUUCAAAAGUUUGAUAUCAUAUUUUCCUAGCAGAACAGUGUCAUGUUGAAUGGUUUUUUCGAGCACAUACCUUGCUGGAUUUUGCUAGAGAUUCUAAAUAUUCCUCUGAUUUCUAUACAUUUGAGCUCAGGUAACCCUUGCAGCGGUAACUCUGUUAAAGAUGACAGCAGCGGCAGCUCCUUCUCCUCACUGCUUCCUUCAUCAGAAGAUGGUGAUGAUGAUGAUGAUGAUUUCAAGGUUGGUGCUGCGAAUAUGUUUUUGAUUGGUGGAAGUAAUUCCUACUGUUUCAUUGGAAAUGGGAUACAAAUUGGCUUCACUUUGUAACAGUCUUAUUUAUCAAAAGAAGAUAUCGACUUAUCUAUAUAUGUGUGAAUAAGGUUAUCUGCUUGUUUACCCAUGUAAUGUAAUGUUGUGUGUUUAGUCAUUACUGUGCGAACCUCAAAAAAAUAAUGUUGCUUGACCAUUAUCGUACAAGCCUCCAGAAGUAGGGGCGUAUGUUGCUUGCCCAUUUGUGUUUCUUUUCAAGUGUGUGAACCUUAAAAAAUAAAGGCAUAAUGUUUAAUGUGUAUUGAAGGAAAGAAUCCCAAGUAAUUAGGAGAUAUACUGUAAUCAAUGGGAUUAAAUAAUUUACCAAAGUUAAUCCUAGAGUAUCUGAUUAUAUGUAAACUGUGUAUAUUGUUGGGAUAUUGCCAUUAUUGUGGCAAUACCCCACCACUAAUUGUGGCUUAGUGGAAGCAUCACUAAUGCCACAAUUAGUGGCAUGAUUUCGGGACCUAAGAAAUGCAUAUAAAGGAGGCUUAUAUUUGAGAGCAAGAGUGUGAGAGAAGAGAGAAUUGUGAGAGUGAAGUGACGAGAAGAAGAGAGAAAGAGGAGCUGCUGCCAUGGGCAGCAGCCCUGCUGCCAUAUGCAGCAGAGUGUGUGAACUGGGAGUUGAGUGAUCCUCCUCCAUGUAUUGUUUUGUAAACCUUUCUCUACCUCUAAUACAAUGACUCUCUCCCGUGGAUGUAGGCGGUUUUGCCGAAUCACGUUAAAUAUUGUGUCAGUGUGCUUACCCUCCGAUGAGCAACUAUCAGUACACCCCCGGUCCGCGCAUGGGGGUGACGGAAUUCCCCAACAAUUGGUAUCAGAGCACAUGGUUUAAAGGGGUGUUUGAUUUUUGCUCAAAAAUGAAAGUUGUCACAAUUGUGUUUUGACCAUACCACUGUGUAGAGAAGGAAGAGACGAAGCCACUGGUGAAAACGGCGUCAAAAUCGGACGUCGGACAUGACCGCACUCUCCAUCACUCUCCGGCAAGGCGUCUGCCCACGCGCGCAGACGCGCCCCACGCGUCUUCUUCACCCGGAUGGGUUGACCCGACCCGAAUACCAGUUGACCCGACCCAUGUGACUGACUCGGAUAUGGAUGACGUCAGCAUGACAUAAUUGUGAUGUCAGCAUGCACAGUAGGCAUGCCAGGGAUGACAUCAGCCUGAUGUAAGUGUGAUGUCAGCAUGCACAGUAGGCAUGCCAUGUCAUCAGACACAUCAUCGACCAGUCAGUAGACACGUCAGCACAGUGGGACCCACCUGCCACGUCACCAGCCACGAGUUGAGCCGAGCCGAGUUGAGCCGAGCCGAAUUGGAGCCGAGCCGAGACGCGAGCCGAGGGACAGGAUCCAGUGUAGCGGAUCCUAAGUGCAACCGGAUCUGAGAUUGAAUCUAAGCCGUUAAUCAGGCCAGAAUUGUUUUGAUCAAAUUGUAGCCGUCUGAAAUGCGAUUUGGACGAUUUCAGACUUGUUUCCAGCUAAUUUGAUCGUUCCGGAUGCAAUGGUACGGUCCGAUCAUUGAGAUUUGAGACCAAAAAUGGCGGUGGUUAAUUAUUAAAGAGAGAUUGCCCGAUCAGGAGGCAUCCGAUGGUCUUCAUGGUGGUCGAUGAAGAUGAAGAAGAAGGUGCACAUGUUUACCCAAUUACAUGUGCUGAACUGCUAAGUGGGGAGAAAUUUAACUGCCUUGAGGGAAGGCAAAAUUGGGACACUCUGGACACCCGAUCAAGUGGACAGUUAGAGGUGUAGAGUGAAAACUGAUGAAGACCAAUCUUGACGAAUCUAAGAACUGGUAGUCUCGUCAGAUGUUGAGAAAUCAUGUAUUAAACCAGUAUAUUCCAGAUCACUUGUAAAGGAAAACCGCAACAAAGCUAGCAAAUGGUUGUAUAUACGGAAAGACAGUACGAUGGAUAGAUAUGGCCUAAGAAGUUCUGUCUAGGAGAUUGGGUUUUAAGCGGGACCAGUGUGACCCCUCCAAUCUUUCCUGGGAACUUGCUUAGUGGAAGGAUUAUCCAUACGGUACUAUUUUCGUAUAUAUAGCAGUUUGUAAUGAAACAGUUGAAGACUAGCAGGAUGGCGGCACAAGGGAACAGUUGGGUUCCAAAGGUUCAAGGAUCUGAUGGAGUGGUGAUUUCUCCAAAGAAGUUAGAUUCGGUGACUGUGAUUUCUUGAGGGAGAAUUGAUGAAGACCCUGAUAAUGGAAGAGGAAUACAGCAAGAGGAUAAAGAUUGGCACCCUAUUUUGACUUGGACAGGUGUUGUGACAGGAUGAGCUGCUGUCAAACAUAAGCAAGGAAUAGGGAGAAAUUCUGGAGAACAGAAAAUGCACGAGGGCACACGGAGAUUGUGCAUGAGUACCCGUAAGAUUCAACGAGGUACUGUAAUGAGACAACAGGUGCAAGGAGAAGAAGUGUUCCCAGAUGAAGCUCAGAGCAGAGACUGUUAAAGUUUGUACAACAGGAAGUCUCUUGUGCUCUUAAUGAAGACAACAUGCGAAGACCUUUCCAAUGCAUGCAAGGAUGGAAAGAGAGCUGUUGCAGAGGCACCUAAUUGAGGGGGUGCAAAUGCCUAUGAUAAAAGGCGACCGCCUAUGAUGAAAGGCGAAGACACCAAAGAGAGUUGGUGUAGGUGGAGCUGUCAAGCAGAAAGGCACAGAAGCUCCAAACAUAGAAAUUGAGGUGGAGGAUUGCGAGGAGUAUACCACAACUUUCUCUUUCUAUGUAGUCAGUGGCAGCAAUCUCUCCCAUAGUGCACAUGGUGGUAGAGAAUUUUGGAGCCACUUUGAAGCAUCUCAGCUGAAGGAGGAUGCGACCGCCCCAUGACAACGGGCGAAGACACCUUAGAUGGAAGGUGUGUGAUGGCCAUGAUAGGAGCCCGGAUCAGACCGCCCUAUGACAACGGGCGAAGACACCUUAGAGAAGGUGUGAGGGCCUUGAUAUGAGCCCCAGAUCAGACUGUCCUAUGACAACGGGCGAAGACACCUAAGGAGAAGGUGUGUGGGCCACGAUAUGAGCCCAGUUCAGAACGCCCCAGAGCUAAAAUGAUGGCUGGAUAUAAGUGGACAGGUGUAUAGCCAAUGAAGUGGCUAUGAUGAGUAUGGAGACAGAUGCAGGAUUGACUUUCAUGGAUAUUGCCCCCAUGCUAAAGAUCAAUGAGCUAGAAGACAUUUGCCUUGGACAAUAAGUGUGUGACUUGUGGAGCAUUAAGACGCGGCUGCUAUGAAGGAGCAGAGGGCAUGCGCAGGUUCCCUGAACAAGUUGACUCUUGUCAAGGUGGUGAGCUCGGUAAUGGCAUUGUAAUACUCAGAGUAUGAAGAUAGAUAUGGAUCAACCUUUAUGGGCUGCCCCCAUGGUGAAAGGUGGAGAGCUACCUGGACUCUUACGACUAAGAGCGAGAGACUCACGGAGAAGUAAGGCGUGGUUCCUAGGGUGGAACAGAGGGCAUGCGCAACUCCUGGAUGAGUAGACUCUUGGAAGAGUGGUGAGCUUGUGAUCACAUUGAAAUACUCAAUGACUGUCGCACUUGGGAAUAUUCGUUUGAGGGGGUGUCAUAAGCCUUGGUGUAAGGCUUGAAAAAUCAUUCCGGACCGAGCAUGGUUGAUACGCUCGAAGGGGAAUGUUGUGUUGAAGACGCUCUCAGAAUGGAAGCUUGGAAGAGCUGCAAAAUGCAAGCUUGUGCUGAAGAAGCAAAAGGACAAUUGCCCACAUAAAUGGCAAAGGGGUGAUUGUUAGGAAAUUGCCAUUAUUGUGGCAAAUGCCCCACCCACCACUAUGCUUAGUGGAAUACUUAGUGGAAGCUUCAUUCAUGCCAUAAUUAGUGGCAGGAUUUCAGGACCCGUUGUCCCCUUGAUGUGCUGGAGAAGGCUACUAAGAAAUGCAUAUAAAGGAGGCUUAUAUUUGAGAGCAAGAGUGUGAGAGAAGAGAGAAUUGUGAGAGUGAAGUGACGAGAAGAAGAGAGAAAGAGGAGCUGCUGCCAUGGGCAGCAGCCCUGCUGCCAUAUGCAGCAGAGUGUGUGAACUGGGAGUUGAGUGAUCCUCCUCCAUGUAUUGUUUUGUAAACCUUUCUCUACCUCUAAUACAAUGACUCUCUCCCGUGGAUGUAGGCGGUUUUGCCGAAUCACGUUAAAUAUUGUGUCAGUGUGCUUACCCUCCGAUGAGCAACUAUCAGUACACCCCCGGUCCGCGCAUGGGGGUGACGGAAUUCCCCAACAUAUAUAUAUAUAUCGUGCUUCUUUGCAAUAUGAAGACACUGAAUACAGAAUACAAUAAUAUUAUCAUUCUGUUCAUGGUAUGUUCUGAGAACCUAGAAAUACAACCCAGUAAUCCACACAACCAAAUACCUCAUGGCGGGUGACGAAGACCAAAAGCUUCUUGAUCAAAACAAGAGCUCAAACUCUUUCAAGACCUCAGAACCAUGGGAGAACUCCAAUCAUUCACUUUUUCUCCAUCACUCAGAUCAACCAGGCGCUGUCCUCGUUUCAAAAUCGCUGAUGGAAGACAAUUACACAACAUGAGUACAGUCAAUGAGCAUGGCACUUACUAUAAAAAACAAGAAGGGCUUUGUAGAUGGAACUCUCAAGAGACCGACUCAUAAUCCUGAUGAGCAACAACAAUGAGACUGCUGUGACAUUCUUGUAAAAACCUGGCUGCUAGGAGCCAUGUCGAAGGAUAUCUUAGGCAGUGUCAUCCAUUGCAAGGACACAAGAGGUAUAUGGCUAGAGCUGAAAGAGAGAUUUUCUCAAACUAACGUAGUUUCAUUGUUCCAUAUAGAAAAUGCCAUUCAUGACUGUGAACAAAGUACAAACUCAGUCAUGUCCUUUUUCACGAAGCUCAAAAGCUGUGGGAUGAGAAGGAUGCCCUCUGUGCAUUCCCUCCUUGCAAUUGUGAGGCAGCUACCGCUGUUAAGGUUUUCAUGGAAACACAAAAAGACCAUGAAGUUCCUGAUGGGGCUUAACGAAAGCUAUGCACAGACCCGAAGCAAUAUAAUAGGCAUGGAUCCUCUUCCGAACCUGGACAAAGCCUAUGCAAUGGCUUUACUACAUGAGAAGCAGGCAGAGGCCUUUACUGGAAAGUCGAUGACACCAUCAGAAGCAUCUGCUUUUGCAGUAAAGAAGGUGACCUGUGAUUUUAACUCUACAGAAGGAGAAGCUAAAUUUUGUGAAAAAUGCAACAUGAAUAAUCACAACACAAAGAACUGCAGAGCUCAUCUCAAAUGCACAUAUUGCAAUGGAAAAGGACAUACCUAUGAUUAUUGUUGAAGGAGAAAGAACGCUACUGAAGGUGGACAAACAAGAUCGAAAGCAAAUCAUAUAGCCCCUCAAAAUAAUAGUAAGGAAGCUUUGCCUAAUUUCCCUUUCUCACGAGAAGAGUGCCAUCAACUUCUCAGUCAGCUUUUAACAAAAAUGAAGUCUGCCUCCGCCAAUCUAGUCAUUUUCGGUUUGCACACAGUAGUGAAGAAACAACAUGGAUACUGGAUAGUGGUGCAAGUGAUUAUAUUGUUUGUAACCCAAAUUUGCUUACCUCUCUAAAAUCAGUCCAUAACCGUUGGGUUAAGCUUCCUGAUGGAACCUCCACACACGUUACUCAUAUUGGCACAUUAUCUUUCUCUCCCCACUUUGUUCUUCAUAAUGUCCUUUAUGUCCCACUCUUCUAUCUCAAUUUGAUUUCUAUGAGCAAACUAGCAUUUGAUUCAUUCUAUAUUACUAUCUUUCUCAGACAAAUUUGUGUCAUACAGGACCUACGAUCGGGGAAGAUGAUUGGGAUGGGAACUGAGAAUGAGGGCCUUUACUGCCUCAAUUACUCAACGAAAGGAACAUGCAAUGCAGUACACACCAACACAAACAACUUGUGGCAUCAACGCCUUGGUCACCCUUCAAAUAAAGCAUCUUCAUUAUUUCCAUUCCUUGCCAAUAAAACUUGUAUUUCAAGUACUUGCUCUAUCUGUCCUUUAUCCAAACUCACUAGACAACCUUUCCCAUUAAGCACUACACAUAGUGAAUUUUGCUUUGAUUUAAUUCACAUUGAUAUUUGGGGUGGUUAUCAUGUCCCAUCUUCUUCUUCUGGUGCACAAUAUUUUUUAACCAUUGUUGAUGACCAUUUACGAAGCACAUGGGUAUAUUUGAUAAAAACACAAAUUUGAAGCACACAUUCUACUUAUUCAUUUUAUUCACUUGGUUGAAAAUCAGUUUGGAAAAAAUGUUAAAGUUGUAAGGAGUGAUAAUGGCCUAGAAUUUAAGAUUUCCUAAUUUUAUUCAUCUAAAGGCAUUAUCCAUCAAACUAGUUGCGUCAACACACCACAACAAAAUGGUGUGGCUGAGCGCAAACAUCGACAUUUGCUAAAUGUAGCUAGAGCUCUCUUUUUUCAAGCAACUCUACCAAAACAUUUUUGGAGGGAUGCCAUACUCACUGCGGCUUACUUGAUCAAGUUAUUCUUAAAGGGAAAACACCAUUUGAAAACCUUUUUCAUAAGGAACCAAGUUAUUCCCAUUUAAAGGUUUUUGGAUAUCAAUGUUUUGUGUCCACAUCCAACCCGUCCUAGCAAAUUUGAUCCCAGGUCCACAGAAUGUAUUUUUCUUGGCUACCCACAUGGCCAAAAAGGGUAUAAGGUUUAUAACUUGACAACUAAGAAAAUCCUCGUUUCAAGGGAUGUGAUUUUCUUUGAGCAUGUGUUUCCUUUUAAAACAAAUUCUGCUUCCCAUUUUUUGCCCCACUUACUAAUUUUCAUUCCUGCAAUUUCUCAUCCACAUUCCAUGCACAACUCCAUUCCUACACCUUAUCCUUAAAAUCCCCAAUCUUCUGCUGACCAUCACUUUCCUGAUACUACUCCACCCAUAGUUGUUAAAAUCUCGAUUUAACUCGUAAAAUCAUAUGAUUUUACGAGUCAAUAUAUGUUAUCGUGUUAAAUCAGCUUAAAAACUUGAAAAANNNNNNNNNNNNNNNNNNNNNNNNNNNNNNNNNNNNNNNNNNNNNNNNNNNNNNNNNNNNNNNNNNNNNNNNNNNNNNNNNNNNNNNNNNNNNNNNNNNNUAGUGUGCCGCACGUAUUUAAGUAUACUAACAAAAAGGUACCGCCAAAAUGAGCAGUGUGGCAGCGACAAGCUCGAGGGUGGUUAAGGGAAGGGUUAAACUGGGUUAUACAGUACUUGCAUGUUCUGAGAGUUUUGUUGUUAUUCUGGUUUAUGGAAAAAUGAGUUAUCAGCAAUCUUUGUGAUUCUAUGAUGGACUUCUGGUAAGAUUGAAGAGAGAAGGUUGUGUUUUGAUGGAGAAAAUGUGAGAAAGGGAGUUAAUCGUGGUGGAGAGUAAAAGCCAUAUCUUUUCUUUCUUCUAAUCUCUUAGUGACUAUCGAGAAAGCAAAUCUCUUAGUGACUAUCAAGAAAGCAAGACAGUUCUCUUUUCCAGUGAAGGGAAAUUUGCUACAAUGGUUUGUUUGACAGGACGGUUAAUGGGCUUGGAAAUUUUCUUAAAAAUAUCUCUCAUUUUUUCUGAAACUUUUCUUAAAAAUAUCUCUUAUUUUUUGCACACAUUUCUCCCUGAUGUGUGAAAUACAAAGAUAUUAGGAAUGAUUUCAGCUUGUAUUAGAAAAUUUAUUAAGAAUUUUUUUUUGUAAAAAUUUCAAAUUUCCUUACGAUUUUACGCUUUUACGAUCUGUUUUUACAAUCAGAGUUUAUUUUGUAUUUUCCAUGCCGUGUCAAAAAUAUGUUUUUGAAAACCUUGAUUCCACCCUCAGAUCCAAUUUCCACUCCACUUACUCCUUCUCUCACAAAUAUCAAUCCCUCCAUUACUUCUAAAAAUAAUCCCGCACUUGACACAUCUUUUAGUUCCAUUUCAUCACCUUUGCAACCUCCCAACUGCCUUCACCACAACCACGCAAGUCUUCUCGAGCCAUAAAACUUCCAACUGCAUUGCAGGGCUUUCAUAUUGAUGCAGCUCUUCCCUCAUGCCCCGAUCCGUCAGCUUCCUCGAACAAGGUCAUCUCUCUAGGUAUGGCUCAUAGCCUCUCUCAUAUCCUAUCUUAUGCUAAUCUUUCUUCCCCUCACAGAACCUUUACUACUAAUAUGACCAUACAAAGAAAGCCUACCUCAUUUUCUCAGGUAGUUAAGGACCCGAAAUGGAGAGCAGCUAUGCAGCAAGAGGUUCAAGCACUUCAUGCUAACAAGACUUGGAGUUUGGUUUCUCCUCCGGCUCACAAACGACCAAUUGGUUCUAAGUGGGUAUAUAAAAUCAAGUAUAAUCCCGAUGGCACAGUUGAGCGCUACAAGGCUAGGUUAGUGGCCAAUGGUUACAGCCAAGUUGAAGGGAUUGAUUAUAGGGAAACAUUUGCGCUAGUUGCUAAGCUCACAACAGUUCGUGUCUUACUCAGUCUUGCAGCCAUGCAGAAUUGGCACCUUCAUCAAUUGGACGUAAAUAAUGCGUUUCUCAAUGGAGAUCUCUAUGAAGAUGUUUACAUGUAGCUUCCUCCUGGCUUCGAACGAAAGGGGGAGAAUCAGGUUUGUAAGCUACACAAAUUAUUAUAUGGCCUGAAGCAAGCCUCAAGGCAAUGGUUUUUGAAGCUUUCCUCAGCCCUCAAAUAAGUUAGCUUCAAGCAAUCAUAGUCCGACUAUUCCUUGUUUGUCCGAAACCAUCAAGGUAUCUUCACAGCUUUGUUGGUCUAUGUCGAUGAUGUUAUUCUUGCAGGGAACAAUUUAGAAGACAUCACAAAGACCAAGUGCUUUCUCUCAAGCCACUUCAAACUGAAGGAUAUGAGACAAUUGAAAUACUUUCUUAUAAUAGAAGUAGCAAGAUCCAAGCACGGGAUUUCCUUGUGUCAAAGGAAAUAUGCAUUGGAAAUCCUUGAAGAUACAGGGUUCCUUGGUGCUAAACCUUCACGGUUUCCAGCUGAACAAAAUGUGACACUUAUACAAGGAGAUGAAGACUUAUUAGAAGACGCCUCCCAAUAUCGAAGACUGGUUGGACGUCUCAUUUAUCUAACCAUCACACGGCCAGACCUUGCAUACGCAGUUCAUAUACUUAGUCGGUUCAUGGACAAACCUAGGCAGCUUCACUUAGAAGCAGCACACAAGGUAUUGAGGUACAUCAAGCAAGCACCUGGUCAGGGAAUUCUCUUACCUUCCAAAGGGUCAUUGGAUUUAAGGGCAUAUUGUGAUGCAGACUGAGUUCAUUGCAAGGACACUAGAAAGUCAACAACUGGCUAUUGUAUUUUCCUUGGACAUGCUCCCAUUUCAUGGAAGACAAAGAAACAAAGUACAAUAUCAUAUUCGAGUGUAGAAGUUGAGUAUCAUUCCAUGGCUACUACAUGCUGUGAAAUAACAUGGCUGCAAUACAUUUUAAGGGACUUGAAUGUUAAGCAUGAGCAACCAGAUAAAUUGUUUUGUGACAAUAAGGCAGCAAUACACAUAGCCUCAAAUCUCGUGUUUCAUGAACCAAGCAUAUAGAAAUAGACUGUCAUCUGGUGCGAGAAAAGGUGCAGAAAGAAUUGGUUUAACCAGAGCACAUACGGACCAAGGAGCAACCAGCAGACAUAUUCACUAAGCCACUAAGUUCAAACCAGUUCUCCAUAUUACUGGGCAAGUUAGGAGUGAUCAACAUAAACUCUAACUUGAGAGGGAGUAUUGAAGGAAAGAAUCCCAAGUAAUUAGAUGAUAUACUAUAAUCAAUGGGAUGAAAUAAUUUACCAAAGUUAAUCCUAGAAUAGCUCCUAGAAUAUUUCCUAGAAUAGUGGAUGUGAUUGUAUGUAAACUGUGUAUAUAUAUGUCGUGCUUCUUUGCAAUAUGAAGACACUGAAUACAUAAUACAAUAAUAUUAUCAUUCUGUUCAGUGUGGACUUUCAUUCAUUCUCCUUUCUACGACUUGAGUAUUUUCUGCAUCAGCAUGUUUUCUCUAUUAAUUUGAUGUUCUGUUUCUAUUGCAUAAUGCAUUAUGCGGUUUUGGGCAUCAGCAAUGCCGCUCAAGAUCUUCAAUAAAUGUUAUUGUAUGAGUAUGUGAAUGUAUUUGGGCAUUCAAAUCUCAAGAUGACUGAGACUUGAUUUCAUGCUUUCCUAGCAGAACAAUCUCAUGUAGAAUGGUUUUUUCGAGCAGAUACCUUGCUAGAGAUUCUAAAAAAAAUUAAAAUCAAAAGUCAAAAAUAUAUUAAAUCAAUUUACGAAAGUCGUAUAUGAUAUAAUCUAACUUUAACUACUUCUUGAAAUCUCUUUGUUGUAAUCUUAAUUAUAUAUGCUUCAUAUUAUAUUUUAAAUUAAAACAUUUGUUAUUCUUACCAUAACAAAUUGUAAUGUGGGCAAGACUCAAGUUAUUAUGCAUUGAACUAUUCUCCUAUAAUGCAAUCCUUUUAUAGGUUGCAUAAAAGUUUAAUAUGGUCCUUGAAAUUUUUGUUUUUCAUAUUUAUUUAAUCCUAUAGUGUUAAAUUUUUAUAAUUCAAUCUUAAAACUUCAUUUUUAUCAUAUUUUUAGUUAUUGAAUGUUGAGAGGAGACAGGGAAUGUGGUGAGAAAACGGAGAAAAGAGAGGAUUUGACUGAUCAUAUUCUAGUAAUAAAAAGACCGAUUUUAAUAUCAAUAGAUUCAUCUUGAACAUGAGAGUUUCAUUAAAAUGAUAUUGUUAUUUAACCAUUAAUGAUCUUAAAUAAACAUUUACUUGAUUUAAAAAUGAAAAACCAAUCAGAAUCUAAAUUAAUUAUCGAGUCAUGAUCUACUUAUUUAACCAUUAAUUCUAGGUUUAAGAUUGAAAAUGAUAAAUUUCAGUUUGGUCUCUCAAUUUAUGCAAAAUUUAGUUUAGUUCCUAGAGCAUAAUCUGAGAUUCUGGAUAAAAUGUAAUGUUGAGAAAUUAUAGGGACAUGUUACUUAGUAGCUCAAAAAGAUAAGGGACUAAAAUGAACUUUGCAAACAAUUACAAUGUCGCCGCAUAUUUUUACCAAGUUUUUCAUUUCAGUCAUGUAUCUUUGAAUUCAACUCUUAUACUUAAAAAACAAAAUGCAAUUGAGUUUUAAUUUGGGCAUAAAGAGAUUCGAUUAUGAAAAAAAAAAAAUUUCAAAUAUCAAAUUGAAAAUUUUAAAAAAAUUCACUAUUAAAUUUCAAAUAUCAAAUUGCAUCAAGUGAUUUUUUGAGAUCAUUUCCCAAUUGAGGACGACAGACUACGGGAAAGAGGAGAUUGGUUGUGGUGGGGAUUGAAGCUGUGAUUUGGGAUCGGUUCAGCAUCUUCUGCUGAUAGGUUUAUCCAGCAGACUACAAGAGGUAAGAACCUGCUCUUAUAUAUCAUGCAAAGAAAUGGAUCAGAUCAGAGUUGCCAAACAUGAAAAGAGAACAAGAGCUAAAGCUGCAUAAAUUAACAGCUUAAUAAAAAGAAUACAAUUUUAUUGUGAUCUUUUGAAAAUAAAAGAGAAUAGAAAAAGGCUACAAAAUUCUUGGAGGCAUAGAAAGAGGUAUAAAUGAAUGAACUGUAAUAAUUGAACAAAGAAUUGAUAAAUAUAAAUAGAAAAAAAUAAAGAGCUCUGAAUUCUUAGAGAGAAAACCGUGAGAGUGAAAAAAGAAAAACAGGAAAAGAGGAAAAAAUAAAGAAAGAUGAAGAGAGUUGGAUAAAAUAAGUUAAAAUGUAAGAUUUACGCAUUGAUGUGUAUAAAUGUGUUUUUCUUAGCUUUAAUUUUCUGUUUUGUUGAAUAUUAGAGUUUUGAAGAUUGUGUUUUGGGUUUGAUUGAUGAAUUGAUUUGAAUAUUAUGUGUUAAUUGUUAUUGAUAAUGAGUUAUAUAGUUGAUUUUUAAAGAUUUUAAGUAAAAAUGAUGAUUUUGAGUUAUGGUUUGUUUUAAUGAUGAAUUUGAGUUAGAAAUCUUGAUAUAUCAAUAGUUGAUCUGUGAAAAUUCUGGGUUUGAGGUUGAAGAUCAUGAAAUUUCAGUUUGGUCCUUCAAUUUGUGAAAAUUUCAGUUUAGUUCCUAGAGCAUAAUCCAAGAUUCUAUAUAAAAUGUAAUGUUGAGAAAUUAUAGGGACAUGUUACUUAGUAGCUCAAAAAGAUAAGGAACUAAAAUGAACUUUUCAAAUAAUUACAGUGUCACUAUAUAGUUUUACGGAGUUUUUCAUUUCAGUUGUCUAUUUUUCAAUUCAACUCUUAUCCUUAAAAAAAAAAUGCAAUUGAGUUUUAAUUUUAGCAUAAAGAGAUUCAAUUAUGUAAAAAAAUAAUAAUAAUCCAAAUACCAAAUUGAAAAUUUUAAAAAAAAUUCACUAUUAACAUCCACAUCCACAAUAAAAUAAGUCUCGGUAAAUAAUAAUAAACAGAAAACUCUUUUAUCUUUUAAUAUAUAAUUUUGUAUUGUGACACAUAUUUUUUGAAUAAUUUUUUAUUUAAAAACAUAUUAAAAUAUUAUAUAUAUAAAAUAACAAGAAAUAUUAAAAAAUAUAUUAAUUAAAUAUUUUUAUAAAUUAAAUAUAAUUAUAAAAACCACUCUCACACAGUAAAAAAACAAAUAGCCUCGUUUUCAUACUAAUUUUCAUCUUCUAUUUUCUACAAGACUGGCUUUCUUCCUUCUUUAUCCCAUUCAUUUUUUUCUCCUUUUAUCAUGCUGUGAUUUUAAGAUUUUUAUUUUAAGUGUUUGAAUAACUAGUUGUUUUUUAAAAUAUUUUUUUAUUUUAAAAAUAUAUUAAAAUAAUAUAUUUUUUAUUUUUUAAAAAUUAUUUUUAAUAUCAAUAUAAAAAUAUAAAAAUUAAUUUAGAAUACAAAAAAUUAUUUUAUAAAAAAAUAAUUUAAAAAAUAAAAAACAAACACGCUAUUUCCCUCCUUAUUUGCUGCCGUGAUUUCAGGUCCUCUUUUCCUGCCUUAUUUGCAAGAGCAUGAAAAAAAUAAAUAAAACAAAAUGAAAUCAAACGAGCAUGGCUGUUAACAACUAAAAGUCAAAAUAUAGAGAAAAAUACUAUCGUAGUCUUUCCUUUUCUGGCUCCAACAACCUCUCCCUUUAUUUCCACGUCCCUAUCUUAUCUCAACCGUGCCUUUCCUCUUUUUUUUUUUUUUUUUUGUUUUUGAAAAGCCUUUUAAGCUUUCUCUCUCCCACUUUCUAUCCUUUCCUAAGGGUAGAUAAAGUUGAACACGUGGCGACCAUCUAUUAACUUUUGAAAUUACCUUUAUCUCCAUGUCACAGUAUUUUUUUUUAUGAAAAGUAAAUUAUUUGUUGAUAUUUGAUAGUAUGGUAAAAUAAAUUGAAAAAUAUUUUUCAAUAUUUAAUUAUGUUAUGUAAAAUAAACUGGAAAAUAACGUAUUAAUAUUAUUUUUUUCAAAUUUAUUAAAAUAACAAGUAACAAAUCUUACAAAUUAAAAAGUUGAAUGAGAAAGAAAUUAAAAAAAAUCUAAUUUCAUAAAUUAUCUCAAAUAAAAUAAAUAACAAUCAAAAUAAUGGAGAUCAAAUCUAAAAAUAAAAAACUUAAAAAAUGAUGAAAUUAAAAUAAUAAUAAUUACAAUUUCAUAAAUUAUUUCAAAUAGAAUAAGUAACAAUUAAAAGAAUAAGGACCGAAUUUGAUAGAUAAAAAAUGAUGAAAUUAAAAUAAUAAUAAUUAUAAUUUCAUAAAUUAUUUCAAAUAGAAUAAGUAACAAUUAAAAGAAUAAGAACCGAAUUUGAUAGAUAAAAAAUUUCAAUUAAAAAAAUAAAAAGAGAAAAGCAAAUAACAAUCAUAAAAGUAAAGAUUAAAUUUAAUAUAAAAUGAAAUUCUAAGGAGUGAAAUUGAAAACAAAAAUAUUCAAAACAAAAUAUAUAGUAAUUAAAAGUUUGAGGAUCAAAUUUGUUAUAAUCAACAAAUAAUAUGAUAUUUUUAAAUUUUUUAUAAUUUCUGAAAAGUGUUUUCUGCUUAAAAUAAAAAAAAAUACUUUCCUAAAAAUUAAGUUAAUUUUUUUCACUAAAAAAUAUUUUUCAUUGAAUAAUUUUUUUAAUAACAAAUAAAUAUAAAGAAUUUAUAAAAAACUACUUUCUGUCAGCAAACUCUUUUCUCCUACUUUCUACCACUAUCUUAAUGUGCAGAUCAGGUUGAACAAGUGGCGAUAAUCUAUUGGUUACUUGGAUCAGCUGGUCACCGUGUCACAAAAAGAUUUAAAAUUCUCCUUUCAUUUACUCACGUUGUAAUAUUGGUACUUUCUCAUAAAUUUGUUUUUUUUUUAAACUGCAAUUUUUAAUUAUAAUCUGUAAUUAUAAUUUCUUAUGUAAUGAAAUUGUAAUCCCUAGUAUAAUGCAUAUUCUAGGGCAAGCACAUCACUCAAGAGCAAAGCACCUCGAUGAAAUAGCAAAAAAAAAAGAUUUGAAUGACUGAAAUAAAAUAAAACCACAAAAGAAGGAUGAAGAAAGUAACCGCACUCUGGAUGCCACCAAAAACCUAGUUUUUUUAGCUUUUAUUUAUUUAUUUAAUAUUGUAAUAGGUCAAUAGAAUUACCUCAGUGAGUGUGACACAGAUGAUCAUCAUAGAUAAUUUAUUUUUAAUUGCUUGAGUUUCAUCCUUUAUUGUGUUCAUUCCAGUAAUUCUAUUCUUUGCAAGUCUGUUCCUUUAUUGAUCUGUUUUUUUUUUUUUUUUUAAAAAGAAUAAAACUAAAAAAAACUUCGACCGAUCAUAGCUUAGAUUAGUUAAUUAUAUUUGUUGUUGGAAGCGAGCUAAGUGAUUAUCCUGAACCUUUCACUCGUUUCUUUCUUUGCUAGGUGAGUACUUUUAUACAUUUUUUUUUGUAUGUCACUGUCUCUAUAUGAUCUUAAUUAUGUCAUCAAAAUGCAUUUUUAAUGGGAAUUACUGCUUUAACUCACAAGUGUCAGUUAGAAUCCUUAUACCUUGCCUUGUUGCUUUUGAAGCUGGAUUCCAUACAGAGCUAGAGGCCUUCUCCUUUUCUUCCUCCCGCUAUUUCAUUGAUUGCCAGUGCUUUUCGCACAUAUUUUCCCAAAUUAAGGUAAUGGAAUUCCUAUUCCCAUUCUCUCUGCGCCUGUUUUACUUGUAGUGACUCACUCUCACGCUCUGUAUCCUUAUUUCUCUGAUUUUCAGACCGGUGGAAAAUGGAUAUCAUAAGUGCUGCUGGACCCAUUAUAUCCAAGAUAGCAGAUCUCUUGGUGGAACCAGUAGGAAGGCAGUUCCGUCACAUGUUCUAUUUCAACGAUUUUGUUAAAGAAUUCAAACAAAAAAAGGAGAACCUGGUUUCGGAAAAAGAACGUCUGCAUGACGAUGUCGAAGCUGCUGAAAGGAAUGCUGAAGAAAUUUACGAAGAUGUCAAAAAGUGGCUGGGAGAUGCAAAAAACGAAAUUGAAGGUGCGGAGCCCUUGGAAAAUGAAAUAGGAAAAAAUGGCAAAUGCUUCACUUGGUGUCCAAACUGCAUGCGACAAUUCAAGUUAAGCAAGGCACUGGCCAAGAAGUCGGAGACUUUCAGAGAACUUUUAGAAAAGAAGUUUACAAAAGUGUCCCACAGAGCUUAUCCUCAGCCCAUAGAAUUUCUCCCAUCAAAGGAAUUCAUGCCCUCAGAAUCGUCAGAAGAAGCUUUCAAACAGAUUAUGGAAGCUCUCAAAGAUGACAACGUCAAUAUGAUCGGACUGUGCGGCAUGGGAGGGGUGGGUAAAACCACCGUGGUGAAAGAAGUAGGCAAGAGAGCCAAAGAGUUGCAGCUGUUUGAUGAAGUUUUGAUGGCUACGGUGUCGCAGAAUCCAAAUGUCAUAGACAUUCAGAACCGAAUGGCAGAUAUGUUAGGUUUGAAAAUUGAAGAAAACAGUAAAGAAGGGAGAGCAGGUCGAUUAUGGCAGAGACUGAAGGAAGUGGAGAAGAUGCUUAUAAUCCUAGAUGAUGUUUGGGAAUUUAUUGACUUGAAAGAGAUAGGGAUCCCAUUUGGUGUUGAUCACGGGGGUUGUAAAAUUCUUCUAACAACACGUCGUCAAGGCGUAUGUUCUUCUAUGAACAGCCAGCAAAAAGUGUUCUUAAGAGAAUUACCUGAAAAAGAAGCAUGGGAUUUAUUCAGAAUCAAUGCAGGUUUACGUGAUGGGAACUCUACCUUGAACACAGUGGCAAGGGAGGUUGCGAGAGAAUGCCAAGGCUUGCCUAUAGCACUUGUGACAGUGGGAAGGGCUCUAAGAGAUGCAUCUGCAGUUCAGUGGGAAUUAGCGUCUAGACAGCUCAAAGAAUCUCAAUUUGCGCGCAUGGAACAAAUUGACGAAAAAAAUAAUGCUUAUACAUGUCUUAAGUUGAGCUAUGAUUAUUUGAAGCUCGAGGAAACCAAGUCAUGUUUCGUGCUAUGCUGUUUAUUUCCAGAAGACUAUGAUAUUCCAAUCGAGGACUUGACGAGAUAUGCAGUUGGUUAUGGGUUACAUCAAGAUGCGGAGUCCAUUGAAGAUGCAAGGAAACGAGUUUUUGUGGCAAUCGAAUACCUCAAAGAUUGUUGCAUGCUGUUGGGCACUGAAACUGAAGAACAUGUGAAAAUGCAUGACUUGGUUCGUGACUUUGCUAUUCAGGUAGCAUCAUCAGAAGAAUAUGGAUUCAUGGUAAAGGCUGGCAUUGGGUUGAAGAAGUGGCCAAUGGGCAAUAAAAGCUUUGAAGGUUGUAAAACAAUUUCGUUAAUGGGCAAUAAACUAGCAGAACUUCCUGAAGGAUUGGAAUGUCCAAAGCUCAAAGUUCUAUUGUUAGAAGUGGAUUCUGGUUUGAAUGUUCCAGAGAGUUUUUUUGAAGGGAUGAAAGAAAUUGAAGUUUUGUCUCUGAAGGGAGGGCGUUUGUCAUUGCAAUCACUUGAACUCUCAACGAAACUUCAAUCGUUGGUGUUGAUCAGGUGUGGAUGCAAGGACCUCAUUUGGUUGAGAAAGCUGCAGAGACUUAAGAUUCUUGGUCUUAUGUGGUGCUCAUCCAUUGAAGAAUUACCUGAUGAAAUAGGAGAGCUCAAGGAGUUAAGGUUGUUGGAUGUGACAGGUUGUGAAAGGCUAAGAAGGAUCCCUGUGAAUUUGAUUGGAAGGUUGAAGAAGUUAGAAGAAUUGUUGAUCGGGAAAGACAGCUUUGAGGGAUGGGACAGCACAGGAGGAAUGAAUGCAAGCCUGACAGAACUAAAUUCGUUGUCUCAGUUAGCGGUAUUAUCAUUGAAGAUACCGAAGGUUGAAUGCAUUCCCAGAGAUUUUGUUUUUCCAGUUAGCUUGCGCAAAUAUGAUAUAAUAUUAGGGUAUGGGUUUGUGAGAGGAGGAUACCCAACCUCGACAAGAUUAAUUUUGGGUGGUACAUCCUUAAAUGCGAAGACAUUUGAGCAAUUGUUUUUACAUAAAUUAGAAUCUGUAGAAGUGAGGGAUUGUGGGGAUGUUUUCACUCUGUUUCCAGCAAGAUUGCGGCAAGGUUUAAAAAAUCUAAGGAGGGUAGAAAUUGAGGACUGCAAAUCAUUGGAAGAGGUAUUUGAAUUGGGUGAGGCUGAUGAUGGAAGCAGUGAGGAGAAGGAGCUACCGCUGCUGUCAUCUUUAACACUGUCAGAGUUACCUGAGCUCAAAUGCAUAUGGAAGGGGCCCACCGGGCAUGUCAGCCUUCAAAGUCUUAUUAAUCUGGAGUUGUAUUCUCUCGACAAACUGACAUUUAUCUUCACACCGUUCCUCGCUCAAAGUCUGUCAAAGCUGGAAAGCCUUGACAUAAGAGAUUGCGGUGAAUUGAAGAAUAUUAUCAGAGAAGAGGAUGGUGAAAGGGAAAUAAUUCCAGAGUCUCCUUGCUUCCCACAAUUAAAAAAGAUCAACAUAUCUUUAUGUGAUAAACUGCAAUAUGUCUUCCCAGUCUCUUUGUCUCAUAACAGAGAUGGCAUCAUCAAGUUCCCUCAACUAAGAAGAUUGUCUCUUGAGCUCAGAUCAAAUUACAGCUUUUUAGGUCCAAGGAAUUUUGAUGCUCAAUUGCCUUUGCAAAGAUUAACCAUUAAAGGACACGAAGAAGUGGGUAAUUGGUUGGCACAGCUACAAGUACGUAAUUUAUAUUUCUCCACUAAUUUAAAUUGUCAAUUGCGAUAAUUUAUUAUUUCUUCCUCCCAAUUUCUAAAAGUAAAGUAAUUGAUAAAUGAUUUUUUUUAUUUAAACAUAUAUAAAUAUAAGAAUCUUAACUGCCUCAUUGUUGUUUGCGUUAUUAAAAAUUAAUCAUAUGGAAGAACAUAUUAUCUGUUAGAUUUAACUGCCUCAUUUGAAAUAUAUUAUCUGUUAGAUUUAACUGCCUCAUGGUUUACGUAAUUUAUAUUAUCUGUUAGAUUUAUUCUUUCUUCGUCACUGCUUAUUUUUUUGUUUUAUCUAAACAUAUAUAAAUAUAAGAAACUUAAUACCAACAAUUAAUCAUAGAAAUCAUAUUAGCUUAUUUUGUGUUCAAAUAUUUAAUUCAAUUAAAAUAUCUUUAAAAAUUUAUUAACUUUAUAACUAAAAUAAAAAUAUUAGUUACUAUUUUUAUUUUUAUUUUUUACAUGAAACUAAUUAUUAGGAGUUGUAGUAACCUUUUUUCGCAAAAAUCUAAUUAUUAUUUAACUUAUCUCUAAUUAAGAAAAAAACUGAAACAAUAAUAUGUAAUCUCUAAAAAGUAUGUAAUCCUGUUUUUUCUAUUUUUUUUCUCCUAUUUAUACAUCAUAUAAAUCAUAUAAAUUGUUUUCAUGGGAGUGAAAAAAUAUAAUAUUGUUCUCUGAUAAGAUGGCCGUCCAUGGGCAGCAAAACGGCUUCUUACAAAGAUUAGAAUAUGUAAAAGUGGACGAUUGUGGGGAUGUUCGCGCUCCGUUUCCAGCAAAAUUGCUGCGAGCUUUGAACAAUCUAAAGGAGGUGAUUGUUGACAGCUGUAAAUCAUUGGAGGAGGUAUUUGAAUUGGGUGAGCCUUAUGAAGGAAGCAGUGAGGAGAAGGAGCUGCCGCUUCCAUCAUCUUUAACCAGGUUACAGCUGUACCAGUUACCUGAGCUCAAAUGCAUAUGGAAGGGGCCUACCAGCCAUGUCAGCCUCCAAAGUCUUGCUGAUCUGCAUUUGGAUUCUCUGGACAAACUGACAUUUAUCUUCACACCGUCCCUCGUUCAGAGUCUACCACAGCUAAAAAGCCUUGACAUAAGUAAAUGCAGUGAAUUGAAGCAUAUUAUCAGAGAAGAGGAUGGUGAAAGGGAAAUAAUUCAAGAGUCUCCUGGCUUCCCAAAAUUAAAAACUAUCAUCAUACAAAAGUGUGGUAAACUGGAAUAUGUCUUCCCUGUAUCUGUGUCUCCAAGCCUUCUGAACCUGGAAGAGAUGCGGAUUUUUAAAGCUCAUAAUUUAAAGCAAAUAUUUUACAGUGUAGAAGGAGAUGCACUCACCAGAGAUGCCAUCAUCAAGUUCCCUAAGCUAAGAAGAUUGUCUCUUUCAAAUUGCAGCUUCUUUGCUACAAAGAAUUUUGCUGCCCAAUUGCCUUCCUUGCAAAUUCUAGAAAUUGAUGGCCACAAAGAAUUGGGAAAUUUGUUUGCACAGCUCCAAGUACGUCCUUUAUAUUUCUCCAAUAAUUUUUUUCCUUUUUAAUCUAAAUUGUCAACUUCAAUACAUGUUGAUUUCUUCCUUUAAAUUUCUGAAACUGAAGUAAUUGAUAAGUGGAGAUAAAUCCUUUAGCCAUCCACUAAAUUGAAAAGGAGUUGUCUAAUUGUAUCAUUCCUUGUCUCUUGAUAGAGGGCUUAAGAAGUAAGAAAUUAAUUAUUGUAAUGAAAUCCUACCUUGAUUUAUGCUUUCCCAGUUUGAGUGAAAUUGAGGCUCUUCCCCCAAUUAAUGGAAGUAUUUGAAGAGGAAGAUAAACCUCCAUCUGCUAAUAUUGAGUUGAUUGUUUCAGUCCUGCAGCUUAUGAUUUCAUAUUCCCAUGUCUACUUCUAUCCUUUUGUUGAUAAGUUUUUUUGCUGAAGUUUAUAUGGACAAUUCGUUCAUCUAUUUACCAAAAUUAUAUAGUUCAAAAGUGCACAAAAUUUCUUUUGAUGCAGGGGUUGACAAAUUUGAAAACAUUACGCUUGAAGUCUCUGCCUGACAUGAGGUGUAUAUGGAAGGGUCUUGUGCUGAGCAAAUUGACUACUUUGGAGGUAAUCUAUCUGGAUAAAAAUUAGACCAAAGUACAUCAAAUAACAUCACAAAAAAAUUAUUAAUAUAUAAGAGCAUAAAUUUUGUGUUGAAAAUUUUGAAGUCAAUUAAAAUAUCUUUAAAAAUUUAUUAACUUUAUAACUAAAAUAAAAAUCUUAGUUACUAUUUUUAUUUUUAUUUUUUACAUGAAACUAAUUAUUAGGAGUUGUAUUAACCUUUUUUUCACAAAAAUCUAAUUAUUAUUCAACUUAUCUCUAAUUAAGAACAAAACUAAAACAAUAAUAUGUAAUCUCUAAAAAGUAUUUAAUCCUGUUUUUUUCUCCUAUUUAUACAUCAUAUAAAUUGUUUUUAUGAGAGUGAAAAAAUAUAAUAUUGUUCUCUGAUCAGAUGGCCGCCCAUGGGCAGCAAAACGGCUCCUUACAAAGAUUAGAAUCUGUACUAGUGGACAAUUGUGGGGAUGUUCGCGCUCCGUUUCCAGCAAAAUUGCUGCGAGCUUUGAACAAUCUAAGAUUGCGGGUGAGCAUUUCCACCUGCAAAUCAUUGGAAGAGGUAUUUGAAUUAGAUGAGGCUGAUGAAGGAAGCAGUGAGGAGAAGGAGCUGCUGUCAUCCUUAACAUUGUUACAGCUGUCAGGGUUACCUGAGCUCAAAUGCAUUUGGAAGGGGCCCACCAGACAUGUCAGCCUCCAAAGUCUUAAUAUUCUGAGUUUGGAUUCUCUCGACAAACUGCCAUUUAUCUUCACACCGUCCCUCGCUCAAAGUCUGCCAAAGCUAGCAGGCCUCUACAU
rnacentral:lncRNA from 1 species